UACGUAGGUGGCAAGCGUUGUCCGGAUUUAUUGGGUUUAAAGGGUGCGUAGGCGGUUUUUUAAGUCAGUGGUGAAAUACUUCAGCUUAACUGGAGAGGUGCCAUUGAUACUGGGAAACUUGAGUACUGAUGAGGUAGGCGGAAUGGACGGUGUAGCGGUGAAAUGCUUAGAUAUCGUCCAGAACACCGAUAGCGAAGGCAGCUUGCUACACAAUUAUUGACACUGAGGCUCGAAAGCGUGGGGAUCAAACAGG
rnacentral:rRNA from 1 species